GGACAUGUCGGAGGAGCGCGACGAGUGCGACGGCAUGGCCACCGUCGCCGGCGACCGGUUCCUUGCCGUCAGCGGGUACCGCACGGGGCGUCAGGGAGGGUUCGAGCGGGACGCCGAGUGGUUCGACCCGGCGACCCGCGAGUGGCGNCUGGUCUCAAGGCCGGCACGGCGCGCGCGGUCGCCGUCGGCGGCGGCGAGCGCGUGGUAGUGACCGGCGCCAUCGAGUCCGAGGGAGGCGGCGGCGGCGGCGGGCACGCGCUGUGGGUGUUCGACGUCAAGUCCAAGAACUGGACCGUGGUGCGCCCUCCGCCGCAGUUCGCCGGCUUCGUCUUCUCCCUGGCAUCCGUCCGCGUUUGAUGAGAUCCUUCCCCGGCGCCGCUCCCGACCAAGAAGACUACUACUACUACUAGUGAGUAUGUAUGCACGUUCUUGAGUUGCCAUUGAUGGAUCUGAGAUCCGCGGUCUCAUCGCCUGAGAUCUGCGCAUCCCGGAUGCAAUCAACUACUACUACUCCGGAGGAAUCAUCGCCAGGAAAAGAACAAAAAAAAAAAGCAUGAGGCAUCAUCGCCAAGAAGAAAACAACAAAAAAUAACUAGAGGAUUGUAGCUUGUCAGAUCUGUCACCAUGGGUGUAAACUCUCCUCUCCUCCCCAACUCUUUGCUGUUGAGACAGCCUGCCAUUUCUGUUGUGAGACAGCGUGGUGUUUUGGUGUUCGAUGAUGGAGGAUUGUUCCGUGAUCUUAGCAAUGAGUCGUUGUACUUGUACAUAUUAUUGUCAGUUGGAUUGGAAGAUCAUACGUGGUUCCUCCGUCUUCUGUCGAGAUCCAGUUCUGCUGCAGCUCACAAAGGCUGCUGGUA
rnacentral:lncRNA from 1 species